rnacentral:rRNA from 1 species
AGAACGAACGCUGGCGGCAUGCCUAACACAUGCAAGUCGAACGUGAUCCAUGACUUCGGUUGUGGUGAAAGUGGCAAACGGGUGAGUAACGCGUGGGAAUCUGCCCAGAGGUAGGGAAUAACCGCGGGAAACUGCGGCUAAUACCCUAUGUGCCCUACGGGGCAAAGAUUUAUCGCCUUUGGAGGAGCCCGCGUCGGAUUAGGUAGUUGGUAGGGUAACGGCCUACCAAGCCUACGAUCCGUAGCUGGUCUGAGAGGAUGAUCAGCCACACUGGGACUGAGAUACGGCCCAGACUCCUACGGGAGGCAGCAGUGGGGAAUAUUGGACAAUGGGGGCAACCCUGAUCCAGCAAUGCCGCGUGAGUGAUGAAGGCCUUCGGUUGUAAGCUCUUUCGGCGGGAAGAUGAUGACGGUACCCGCAGAAGAAGCCCCGGCUAACUUCGUGCCAGCAGCCGC